rnacentral:rRNA from 1 species
UAACGGCGAGUGAACCGGGAAAAGCUCAAAUUUGUAAUCUGGCUGUCUUCGAUAGUCCGAGUUGUAAUCUAUAGACGUGUUUUCCGUGCUGGACCGUAUCUAAGUCCCUUGGAACAGGGUAUCAAAGAGGGUGACAAUCCCGUGCUUGAUACGACCACCAGUGCUCUGUGAUACACGCUCUACGAGUCGAGUUGUUUGGGAAUGCAGCUCAAAAUGGGUGGUAAAUUCCAUCUAAAGCUAAAUAUUGGCGAGAGACCGAUAGCGAACAAGUACCGUGAGGGAAAGAUGAAAAGCACUUUGGAAAGAGAGUUAAACAGUACGUGAAAUUGUUGAAAGGGAAACGAUUGAAGUCAGUCGUGUUCUUUGGAUUCAGCUAGUUCUUCUAGUCUACUUCCUUUGAACGGGUCAACAUCAGUUUUGUCCGGUGGAUAAAGAUAGUAGGAAUGUAGCUCCCUCGGGAGUGUUAUAGACUAUUAUUGCAUGCACUGGAUGAGACUGAGGACUGCAGCUCGCCUUUUGGCCGGCCUUCGGGUACGUUCGAGCUUAGGAUGUUGACAUAAUGGCUUUAAACGACCCGUCUUGAAACACGGACCAAGGAGUCUAACAUAUCUGCGAGUGUUUGAGUGUCAAACUCAAGCGCGUAAUGAAAGUGAACUGGGAGGGAUCCGUAAGGAGCACCUUCGACCGAUCCGGAUGUUUACUGAUGGAUUUGAGUAAGAGCAUAUAUGCUGG